UCUGUUUUCAUGUAUAUUACCUAACUGAUAAGGUAGAAGCCACUGAAACCUGGGCUGCCUAUGAAACAAAUACAAGAAAAUAUGGGUAAUUCCUCUGUUUUGCCUGCAAUUAACAAGGGUAUUUGUAUAAAAAGGAAAUAUUUUAAGCAAUGACUGACUGCCCAGAAGGGGUAGAUCUAUGUUCUUUUUGUCUUUCAGAAAAUCAGAGAAAACUGAUGCCAGCUGAAAAGCAAUUCAACAUAUCAUGAAUUUACUGGCACAACAGGAAUUAUGUUCUGUGUUCGAUGUCAUGUUUUGUGAUGUUUGUCUUGUGGCCAGAAUUGCUGUGUUUAAUUUUUCAUAGGACAGUUUAGUUUAAAACUAAAUAGAAGGGUUAAAUCAAAAUGCAGAUACUUGUUUUAUUCAACUUGGCAUACAAAGUGUUUGGAUAAUAUCAGGAAAAUGUGAUAUACUAAAGUUUAAUGCAUUUGCUUAAGUUAAAAGAAAAAAAAUCAUGGGCC